AUUACAGUUUCUGUAUUUUUUAAGAGAGAAAACAAAAACACUUGUGUCUCUUCAGCAUUCCCCUGCGGUGAAACCAAGCGGGUUAAAGAGAACCCACGGGAGAAUGUAGCCCAGAGAGUCAGUGCCCGACAGCUGGCUUAGGUGAUGACGGCUCUGCAGGGCUGGGAACAUCUGGAGUGUGGAGAUGAGGCUUGUCUCUCCUCGAGCUGGAAAAACACACACAGCUGAGCAGGCUGCCAAAGACCGAGGGGAAGGCUCUGAACUUCCUAGCUCACCCCAGCCUCCCGAGGUUAAUAUUCCAAGGGCAAGGACUUCAUUUGAACACCAUGUUCUGUCAUAAGCUCUUUGCUGAAUAACUCACUUGAUGCCUUUUAGCAAUUUUGAGGCCAGGGGCAGAAGCAGUCCUGCAAACAAAUGAUAGUAAAUCCAAAGCGAUGAUUCUACACAUUUGGGACAUCAUCUAUUGGGACAAAUGCUUCCGAACACAUUUUCAUAUGAUCCCUUCAAUAGAGCUACCCCAAAAGACAGGACAGUG
rnacentral:lncRNA from 1 species